CUUGACUGUAGUCUGGAAUUGGGUUUGGGUUCCUUUUGCGCAGCCUAGGUGGGAGGCGUUGAUCAUUCCUUUCCGGGGGGGUGUGAGCCAUUCGUGAGAGACCACUCUAAAGGAGCUAGAAUUCUAAUGGCGAUCCUUGAAGCAGGACGCUUGACAGUUUCAGGCAGGCAGUUUGACUGGGGCGGUCGCCUCAUAAAAGGUAACUGAGGCGUGCAAAGGUUCCCUCAGGCUGGACGGAAAUCAGCCGGAGCGUGUAAAGGCAGAAGGGAGCUUGACUGCAAGACCUACAAGUCGAGCAGGGGCGAAAGCCGGCCUUAGUGAUCCGACGGUACCGUGUGGAAGGGCCGUCGCUCAACGGAUAAAAGUUA
rnacentral:rRNA from 1 species